GUCUACAGCCAUGCUACCCUGAACAAGCCCGAUCCUGUCUGAUCUCGGAAGCUAAGCAGGGUUGGGCUUGGUUAGUACUUGAAUGGGAGAACACCUAAGAAGAUCAGGUGCUAUAGGCG
rnacentral:rRNA from 1 species